rnacentral:tRNA from 1 species
GCAUUGGUAGUUCAGUGGUAUAAUUCUUGCCUCCCGUGUGUGAGACAUGGGUUCAAUUCCUGGCCAAUGCA